UCAGGCCUAACACAUGCAAGUCGAGCGGAAACGAGUUAUCUGAACCUUCGGGGGACGAUAACGGCGUCGAGCGGCGGACGGGUGAGUAAUGCCUAGGAAAUUGCCCUGAUGUGGGGGAUAACCAUUGGAAACGAUGGCUAAUACCGCAUAAUGCCUACGGGCCAAAGAGGGGGACCUUCGGGCCUCUCGCGUCAGGAUAUGCCUAGGUGGGAUUAGCUAGUUGGUGAGGUAAGGGCUCACCAAGGCGACGAUCCCUAGCUGGUCUGAGAGGAUGAUCAGCCACACUGGAACUGAGACACGGUCCAGACUCCUACGGGAGGCAGCAGUGGGGAAUAUUGCACAAUGGGCGCAAGCCUGAUGCAGCCAUGCCGCGUGUGUGAAGAAGGCCUUCGGGUUGUAAAGCACUUUCAGUCGUGAGGAAGGUGGUGUAGUCAAUAGCUGCAUUAUUUGACGUUAGCGACAGAAGAAGCACCGGCUAACUCCGUGCCAGCAGCCGCGGUAAUACGGAGGGUGCGAGCGUUAAUCGGAAUUACUGGGCGUAAAGCGCAUGCAGGUGGUUUGUUAAGUCAGAUGUGAAAGCCCGGGGCUCAACCUCGGAAUAGCAUUUGAAACUGGCAGACUAGAGUACUGUAGAGGGGGGUAGAAUUUCA
rnacentral:rRNA from 1 species